UACGAAGGGGGCUAGCGUUGCUCGGAAUUACUGGGCGUAAAGCGCACGUAGGCGGAUCUUUAAGUCAGGGGUGAAAUCCUGGAGCUCAACUCCAGAACUGCCUUUGAUACUGAGGACCUUGAGUUCGGGAGAGGUGAGUGGAACUGCGAGUGUAGAGGUGGAAUUCGUAGAUAUUCGCAAGAACACCAGUGGCGAAGGCGGCUCACUGGCCCGAUACUGACGCUGAGGUGCGAAAGCGUGGGGAGCAAACAGG
rnacentral:rRNA from 1 species